rnacentral:rRNA from 1 species
UACGAAGGGGGCUAGCGUUGCUCGGAAUCACUGGGCGUAAAGCGCACGUAGGCGGCUCUUUAAGUCAGAGGUGAAAUCCUGGGGCUCAACCCCAGAACUGCCUUUGAUACUGAGGAGCUUGAGUCCGGGAGAGGUGAGUGGAACUGCGAGUGUAGAGGUGAAAUUCGUAGAUAUUCGGAAGAACACCAGUGGCGAAGGCGACUUACUGGACACAUAUUGACGCUGAGGUGCGAAAGCGUGGGGAGCAAACAGG